rnacentral:tRNA from 1 species
AAGAUAUGAAAAUUCAAGAAUAAGCUUCUAACUUAAUUCUUUAGCAGUGAAACCCUGUUAAUAUCUUU